UGUGCCAGCAGCCGCGGUAAUACGAAGGGGGCUAGCGUUGCUCGGAAUGACUGGGCGUAAGGGGCGCGUAGGCGGCCUACACAGUCAGAUGUGAAAUUCCUGGGCUCAACCUGGGGACUGCAUUUGAUACGUGGCGGCUUGAGUGGAGAAGAGGGUUGUGGAAUUUCCAGUGUAGAGGUGAAAUUCGUAGAUAUUGGAAAGAACACCGGUGGCGAAGGCGGCGACCUGGUCUUUUACUGACGCUGAAGCGCGAAAGCGUGGGGAGCAAACAGGAUUAGAUACCCUGGUAGUCCACGCUGUAAACGAUGUGUGCUGGAUGUUGGGGAACUUAGUUUCUCAGUGUCGUAGCUAACGCGAUAAGCACACCGCCUAGGGAGUACGGCCGCAAGGUUGAAACUCAAAGAAAUUGACGGGA
rnacentral:rRNA from 1 species